UUAGUUGUGACGGUGGCACUGCGAAGUAAAGGUUAUUUACGACUCCCCUGUACAGCUGGAAAAGGAUUGGGAAAAGAAGAGAAGGGAAAUACAGAACCAUUGAAAGUUAAACUAAAGUUCGAUAACACUGGAAUUGGGCAUGAUGUUGGAGAAGAGUUCAAAUUCCACUGGUGGGACCAUGUGUUCAACAAAGCUGCUAAGAAUAUGUCAGUUGAUGAUAAGGUAAAUUUAAAUGUGUAAUUGCAGUGAAUAUUGGAGUG
rnacentral:misc_RNA from 1 species